GUAUGUCGACACGUGUCUUACAUUGACUGGAAAAAUUAGAAAAGUAUUUAGAAAACGUAAACAUGUAUAUAAGCAAAGUAAACUAAUGGGGAAUCAAAUUUAUUAAGUUGAGGGACUAAAUAUGUAUAUUAGGAAAGCUAGAGUAGAAGGACAUCAAAGUAAAAGUAGAGGGACUAAACAUGGACUAAGCAUGUAUAUUAGCAAAGUUAACUAAUGAGGAAUAAAGUUUAUUAAGUAGAGGGACUAAACAUGUAUAUUAUGAUAGUUAUAAUAAAAGGACUAAACACGUAAAUUAGAAAAGUUAAGGGUUAAAAGCGAAAAAUUAUUUUGACCAUUCAUAAGAGGACAAAUGGCUAUGUCGGAGUGGUCAGCCGACAUAGACUUUUAAGU
rnacentral:lncRNA from 1 species